rnacentral:rRNA from 1 species
ACGGAAGGCAGCAGUGAGGAAUAUUGGUCAAUGGGCGGAAGCCUGAACCAGCCAAGUCGCGUGAAGGAUGAAGGUAUUAUGUAUUGCAAACUUCUUUAGCAGCAGAGUAAUAAGGGGGUCGUGACCCCCGAUGCAAGUAUGCUGAAAAUAAGGAUCGGCUAACUCCGUGCCAGCAGCCGCGGUAAUACGGAGGAUCCGAGCGUUAUCCGGAUUUAUUGGGUUUAAAGGGUGCGCAGGCGGUUUUUUAAGUCAGUGGUUAAAUCGUGAGGCUCAACCUCAUCACGCCAUUGAUACUGGAAGACUUGAUUGCGGUUGAGGUUGGCGGAAUUCGUCGUGUAGCGGUGAAAUGCAUAGAUAUGACGAAGAACACCGAUUGCGUAGGCAGCUGACCAAGCCGUAAAUGACGCUCAUGCACGAAAGUGCGGGGAUCGAACAGGAUUAGAUACCCUGGUA